rnacentral:lncRNA from 1 species
GAAAAAUACCACUGCAGUUCUGGAGUCUUGGCUAAGAUAGAACUGCACAGCAGAACACAUCUUCUGUUUUAAUCACCUGAAUGUCUGCACAACAUUUAAACCAGCAGAAAAAGGAAUGCUUCUGAAAGCUGCCAUGCUGUCCCCAAAAGGAGUGGAAUGCCCCAGUGUUGUCACAGCUCCACUUUGCUGGAAUGUCAUCACAACAAGCAAAACAGUAAUUCCAGCUCACCCAGCAAUCACCAUCACAACGCUGUUUUCCAAGGCUCAUCUCCUCCUGUUCGACUCCAGACUCCUGGCUGCAGGUCCAGCUGCCUCGUACAGUCAAUAAAUGAAAGUUCUCUCAUCAUAUGGCACAAAUCACCACUUCCUCCACUCCUCAUACCCUGCUCCUCCAGGCAGUUCAUUUCACACAUCUUUACGCUAGAAGCCGGGCACUGCGCUGUAGAUCAGCAUGUAUUUAUUGACUUGUAUCCUGUUAUUAUUCUCAUAGGCAUGUAUGGCUGUGUUGUGCACCCACCCCAGGUAUUUCCUCUGUCCGGUUUAUUACCUCUGUGAGCCUUCUUUUCAGCAUUUUACAGUUUUCCUCUGCAGGUGUGUGUGGGGAGCCC